GCUAUCAUCGGUGGUGCAACGGUUCAGCACACUCUCUCGGAAAGAGUGAGAUCUGGAUACGAAUCCCGGCUGAAGCA